rnacentral:sRNA from 1 species
AGCAGAUUCGUGAGAUAGUCGACCAAGAAACAAAUUCCCCUUCCCUUGCGAGUAUAUAUUUCACCAAAAAAAUAACUCGAUCAAACUUCGAAGAUUUGUGUGGGGUCAAACUAUUCGCUUGUA